rnacentral:lncRNA from 1 species
GGUUUCCUCUUCUGGCCUCAGUUUCCUUUUCUGUAAAUUGGGGAUAUAACAGGACCUGCCUCAUGGGUUUUCUUUUUUUUAGGCUUAAACGAGUUAAUUUUCUUGUGGUUAGAAUAGUCAGGCCCUAGGAAAUGCUCAGUAAACAUUUGUGAAUUUUUUAAAAGGAGUUAAACAUUCAUGGAGCUUGAGAACCAAUUAAGAACCUUCAGACAGUCCCUCACGAGGCAAACUGUCCCUUCUGGCUUUUUUUUUUUUUUUGAGAAAGAUUAGCACUGAGCUAACAUCUGCUGCCAAUAUUUCUCUUUUUGCUGAGGAAGACUGGCCCUGAGCUAACAUCCAUGCCAUCUUCCUGUACUUUAUAUGUGGGAUGCCUACCACAGCAUAGUUUGCCAAGUAGUGCCAUGUCCGCACCCAGGAUCCGAACCGGUGAAACCCAGGCCGCCGGAGCAGAACGUGCGCACUUAACCGCUGUGCCACCGGGAUGGCCCCUCUUCUGGCUUUUUAAAAAGUUAAACUUUGUGAAAAUAACCACAUUUAGAUUGGUGCUGACUGGAGUGGCUUAAUCCAGACAGGGGCUGGGGGCUGAUGAUGCUGUCUGCACCCCCGCCUCACCCCCACGCCCUGGGACUCACGUCCUGCCUCCCUCCCUGUGUCACGGGUUCAAUUCCUCAUGAUGACAUGUCCAGAAAAGCUUGGCCAAUACCUGUGACUUACCAUCUAAAACAUUCCUUGUUUAACUUAAUUAAUGAGCCUUGAAUGCAUUCGUUGCCGCCCUUGAGCAAAUAUUUAUUGCACUGUGAUGCUGAGCAGACGCUGUAAUCCCACAGUUGGAGUCAAACCCAGGGCCCGCCCCAAGGAAAAUCGCACAAGUCAGACCAGGCCUGGUGGCUACAGCCCUGGAGUGCUGGAGACCGGCUCUGGACAGCUUCCAUGAGGCCGAAAACAUCAGAAUGCCCUUGGCCCUUGUGGUCCCGAGGCUCCAUGACGUGCUCGCCAUCCUCCUUUCCUGUUGAUAAACAGGCCGCUGCCUGCGGGCCCAGGACCAGGUGUGAGACACAUGGAGGGGUGGAUGGAGGUCAGACUGUUGGGGGCAAAGGCUCCUGCUUCCCCGAGCUGACCCCGCCUCUGCCAGGAGAAAGAGACUCAGAUUUCAGAGCUCUGCUGUGGGUCUGGCACUUUGUUUACGUGAGGUCAUUUGGUCCUCGUAACCAGGUCCCACGCCUCCCCCUCUCCACAUUUGACAUAUGAGAAUGCUUAAAAGUUCAUGUUUACCUUGUGUGGACUUGCUCAAAGUCACAUGGCUAGGAGGUGGCAGAGCUGGGAUGGGAACCAAAUCUUGUUCUUUUUAUCAGGCCAUGAAGAAAUCACCAUUUUUCUGGGUCUUAAAUUCCCUUUUCAAAACACUGCACAGAGGGGCUGUCCCUCAGAUCUUCCAGGAAAGGCCAUGCCGGCCGUAGGGGCAGCCCUCAACACCACGUCUGGGCACCUCGUUGCUGGGCCUUCAUCCCCCGGGGCUGUGGGAGCACGGGGGCGGGGCUGUGUGAUUUGUGGAGGGUGGGGUCUCCUGGAGCUUCCAUGAGGCAAUAGUAGCAUUUGAGCUGCUCAGGAAAGACCCAACUGGGUGGCGCCAUCUUGAGCACCUGGAGAGGGUGUGGCGCCAGUUUCCAAGGCAGCAUGGUGAGACCCCCUCUUGCCCACGCCCCAGAGGGGCAUUCUUCACGGAGCCUGCACUGACCAUUCUCUGGGGGGCGUGGAAGACAGUCAGAAAGACCACCCUGCCUCCUUCUGGACACGCUGCUAGAGACCGAUUACUCGAUGUUCAAUUUUCCACAUGCUUUUCCGUUUUUUGAACUCAGUUCCUACAUCCUGAUCCCACAUCAUGUGCCCACACUCCCAGGUGGCAGAACCCAGAUUUCUUCAGUUGCCUGUUUCAAAGUUGCCCACCAAGCAGAACCUCGUCUUUCUGGAAUCUGCCCUCAGAUGACAGAAUCCUUUAACCAUCCCAACUCCUGAGCCACCUGUUUGGGUGUCAGAGUGAAACAAAUACCAGCUUUCUGUGCCAUCACAGUCUCAUGGGGAAGCCUGGGGAGAGCACACUUUGACAGGCACAGUCUCCAUCUGGUGACCAG